CGGUCUUUUCUGCUUUAGCCAAUCGUUGAGCACUGACUGAAACGGGGAUUCCCUCCGGUCGAGUGGAAGACGAACGUUUUUCUGGUUAAGGGCUGGCACUGCUGGCAGGCGAUCUCCCCGCUCCGGGCGUGAGGGAUGAGGGGUUCGGAGCUGCUGGCAGUGGCACAUGACUCUUGCAGCGGCCAGCGUAUGGACCUGAGUGCAGUUCAUGUGCGACCCCUGGAGAGGCUGGGGGCACCUGGGGCGCUGGAUGAACAGAGAUCAGUGCGCUUCAGUGGGGAUGGCGGAUGGCAUCUGGGUCCCCAAGGCCACCACAAGGUACAGACCUCAGGCACAGCAGAAAAGAGAUGCACGCACCCACGGCUUCCUUUAAAGAAUGUUAG
rnacentral:lncRNA from 1 species